rnacentral:rRNA from 17 species
UUUGAUCAUGGCUCAGAUUGAACGCUGGCGGCAGGCUUAACACAUGCAAGUCGAGGGGAAACGACAUCGAAAGCUUGCUUUUGAUGGGCGUCGACCGGCGCACGGGUGAGUAACGCGUAUCCAACCUGCCCACCACUUGGGGAUAACCUUGCGAAAGUAAGACUAAUACCCAAUGAUAUCUCUAGAAGACAUCUGAAAGAGAUUAAAGAUUUAUCGGUGAUGGAUGGGGAUGCGUCUGAUUAGCUUGUUGGCGGGGUAACGGCCCACCAAGGCAACGAUCAGUAGGGGUUCUGAGAGGAAGGUCCCCCACAUUGGAACUGAGACACGGUCCAAACUCCUACGGGAGGCAGCAGUGAGGAAUAUUGGUCAAUGGACGAGAGUCUGAACCAGCCAAGUAGCGUGCAGGAAGACGGCCCUAUGGGUUGUAAACUGCUUUUAUAAGGGAAUAAAGUGAGAGUCGUGACUCUUUUUGCAUGUACCUUAUGAAUAAGGACCGGCUAAUUCCGUGCCAGCAGCCGCGGUAAUACGGAAGGUCCGGGCGUUAUCCGGAUUUAUUGGGUUUAAAGGGAGCGUAGGCCGGAGAUUAAGCGUGUUGUGAAAUGUAGACGCUCAACGUCUGCACUGCAGCGCGAACUGGUUUCCUUGAGUACGCACAAAGUGGGCGGAAUUCGUGGUGUAGCGGUGAAAUGCUUAGAUAUCACGAAGAACUCCGAUUGCGAAGGCAGCUCACUGGAGCGCAACUGACGCUGAAGCUCGAAAGUGCGGGUAUCGAGCAGGAUUAGAUACCCUGGUAGUC